rnacentral:lncRNA from 1 species
CCCAGGGCCAAGGAUGUGUCUCAAUGGUCUUGCGUGACCCCUGUGAAAGGAUUACUUGAUACGCUCAAAGAGGUUGUGACCCAUAGGUUGGGAACAAUUGCUCUAUACCAAGACCCAUCUGAUUUCCAACAGCCAACCUUGCUGGGCCUUAGCACAUUGCAGUCACACAAAGACAGUGUUUUCUCAAUUGAUGCACAAGGUG